UCAGCCCUAGCACAUGUCUCCAAAUGUGCCCACAUUAUUAGUUCAACAUCUCCAUGUCCAUGACUUGUGAAACAUAGUCAUCAACUAAUAUAUGUGCUAGUCUAAUAUUCAUGUGUGUCCUCACAUGAACUCCGACUAGGGACAACUUUAGAAUAACCAUACAAGUAAAGAGUUUCACACACAAUUCACAUAAUUGCAAAUCAAUUCAAGUAGCCUUUAAUGGAUAUUCAAGGAACACAAUAUAAAUCAUGGAUACAAAUGGAAUAUCAUCAUCUCUAUGAUUGCCUCUAGGGCAUACCUCCA
rnacentral:lncRNA from 1 species